rnacentral:rRNA from 1 species
GUGGGGAAUUUUGGACAAUGGGCGCAAGCCUGAUCCAGCAAUGCCGCGUGCAGGAAGAAGGCCUUCGGGUUGUAAACUGCUUUUGUACGGAACGAAAAGCCUCUGGUUAAUACCCGGGGGUCAUGACGGUACCGUAAGAAUAAGCACCGGCUAACUACGUGCCAGCAGCCGCGGUAAUACGUAGGGUGCGAGCGUUAAUCGGAAUUACUGGGCGUAAAGCGUGCACAGGCGGUGAUGUAAGACAGUUGUGAAAUCCCCGGGCUCAACCUGGGAACUGCAUCUGUGACUGCAUUGCUGGAGUGCGGCAGAGGGGGAUGGAAUUCCGCGUGUAGCAGUGAAAUGCGUAGAUAUGCGGAGGAACACCGAUGGCGAAGGCAAUCCCCUGGGCCUGCACUGACGCUCAUGCACGAAAGCGUGGGGAGCAAACAGGAUUAGAUACCCUUGUAGUCC